UGUUCAUAUUAUAAUAGCUUGAUUUUACAUUUUGGAUAUGUGUCUCUGGUUUCCUACUUGGAAGAUAAGGAAUUAGGUCUCUUCUAUACAUCUGUACACUAACACAGCCCUUACCCCCCUUGUUCUGCUAUAUCAAUAUCCAGUGUUUAAAUUUGUAUAUAUGAUACAUUCCUUCUGGCUGAGCCACAUAGUGUGCUAUUAUAUUUUCUCUUUCUCUUUUCUCCAUUUUGGUAUGUGUUUCGGGAGAUAAAAAUUGCCUUACGUUUUCAUUUGUUACAUGCAACUGUCACAAAUGCGUCUACAAACUCUCUUCCAGGUGGUGAAACUCUGCAUAUUAUUGUCAAAUGCAUGAAGUAAUCUGUUGGUUAAGUUUUUUGGGUUUUGUCUUUGUUCUUGUUUUCCCCCUUGUAGGCAUCCUCCUGGAGUCCUCUUUCUCCUGCUUCAGUCUCACCUGGAUGCUCCCCACACUGGCUGCAUCACAGUGACCUUGGCGUUUGUUUCAGCAUCAUCUUGGAAUUACCUCUUUUUCUCUGCUAAGUUGGAUCUCCCGUCUCCUGGAUCUUUUCCCCGUCUGACUCCCCUUACUUUGAUGGAGUGUGGCUUCCAACAGCUUUCUGAGUAAAGCUGUCUGGUAGGCAAUAUUUUGAGACCUUGAAUAUCUCAAAAUAUCUUUAUCUCCUCGUACACUUGACGGAGAAUUUAGAGAGCUGUAGUACUGUAGGUUGGAAACCAUAUUUACUCUGGUGCUGCAGGAUGUUAUUCCACUGCCUUGCGGUCUAGAAUGUUGUUCUUUAUGCCCCGUGUCAUUCUAAUUCCUCACCCUCUUUAGGUGACCGUUUUAUUCUUCCUUUGCAGCUAAGUGGACUUUUUCUGUACUAAUAUUCUUAAGAGAAUUGUCUCACACAGUUUUCAUGCCAGCUCGAGGAGGCAGGCACUGUUAUUGUCAACGUCUUAAAAGUGAAUAAAUGAGAUACAGCAAUGUUAGAUAGAUUGCUAAUAUAUCUGGAAAAUAGGUGAGAGGGCUAUGAUAUAAACCUGGGCCAGUUCUGCCUACAUCACCUGCACUCUUCGUCAUGAUGCAUGAAGACUCUCCAUGAAGUUCAGGUUUAACACCAUGCUUUGUGUAAGGCCAUUUCUGUUCAGGCCCACUCUCCUUUGGGUCCAAAUCUACUGCUGGGGCAGUGCUUACAGCCCAGUCAAUUCCUGGCUCACCCCAUUCCCCUCUCCCUACCUCCCUGCUGUUUCAGUCUCUGUUGGGGCCUGGUGUGUGGUGACCAUGAAAUUCCUAGAAAGUGACUCCAUUCAGAAUCUGCAUUUCCCAUCUUUUAGCAACUUCUCUUUUCAAACAUCUGAUAUUUGAAAAUUCAGGAGUCUUAUAUCAUUUUCCGUGAGUUGUAUUUGUGUUCCAUAUUUCUGCCACUUUCUGUAGGGGAACCUUAUUUAUAUUCCAGUGAUUUGUUGUCUUUUCUUUGGCUAUACAUCAUACUUUUUCUUAAUUUGAAAUGCAUUUAUCUCAAAGUACCUGAGAUAAAUUUUUAAAAAUUCCUUUUCAUUUUACUUCUGGCAAAUACCCCGUUCUAAGGUCUCCAUUUUGUAUCUUGAAUUAAGAAAGAUUCAUAUUUAAGUGCAUUUGCAAAGGAAGAGUGUCACCAUUAGGAAGUGCAAAGAUCAGGGGACCUGAAGUCUGUGGGGUCUCAUUUUAGUUCUGGAUCUACCAGCUACUUGCUGUUGAUCUUGGAUAAUUCAUCCAAACUCUCUCAGUCUUUGCUUCCUUAUCUCAACAGGGGGUUAAUUGCUCGUAUUCUCCCUGCUGUUACUGGGUGUCACAAGGACCAAAUGAAAAAAAAAUAUGUGGGAAAAUAUCCUGUAAUCCUACAGUAAUCUUUGUCAAAUUUGGGCCAUAUUCAUAUUAUCAUGCACUAUUAUUUAGUAUUUAGUAAAUAUUUUUUUUCUUUACAUUCACUUACUUUCCAAAUUUAAAUAAAUUUAUUUAUAACGGGAAACUAAUGGAAAGGAAAUAAAGACGGGGGAAAUUUAGGAAGAAUCAUAGAACAAGAACUCUUGUUCAUCAGAGAACAAGAGUUGCUCAAUGUAUAUGCUAGAAAAGAACAGAUAGGAGUGAGUCUCGGGGUUGGGCAUGAGUUUUCCAAGGUGCUGGAUCAAAAAAUAGGAAGAUGGAAUUAGUAAAAGAGAGGAAGACAGGAGGUAGUGGGUUGACCCCCUGAGAGAUAAAUCUAACCUGAAAGGGAGGAUUGAGGUAGGGAGAAGUCAAGCCUGAGAAGUGUGGUGUCAGUAGCUUAUGAUGAGUGAUAGGAUAAGACACUGCGAUUAGGGGGAGGCUGGGACUGAGCUAGGGGUUUAGAAAAAGGUGUUUGUUUUGUUUUGUUUUGUUUUGUUUUGUUUUGUUUUGUUUUUUUUGAGGAGGUUGUACAAGGGUCAGGGUUGAGGGAUUGGGGGAACUCAAGGAGACAUAAGGAAGGUUUGGGAACACAGGAGUGUUGAGAAAGUUAAGGGAAGGGGUGCUAAUGAAAGGUGGUGAGGGCUAUUGAGUAGGACUUGAGGGAUGGGUGUUGCCAUGCUGAGGGUGCAGCUCGGUACUUUAAAGUGUUUUGUGUAUUUUAUAUAUGUGUGCCUACUAUACCCUGGGAAAUACUGCUUUGACACCAUCUGCAAAUAUAUGGAAUUAUUUAUAACUAGCUCUUUGAACAUCUAUUGUCUUUACAGUUUUCUUCCAUUCUUUCCUGGUAAGUAUAUCCUGGGAUCUAGAACCUCAAAAUGGCCCCAUGGGCACAGUUGUCCCUGUAUUUAUAUGGUGACCGGGGAGCAGGUAGAAGGCAGGUCUUGGUAAAAUUUUAAACCUGCUAAAGUUCAAACUCGGAACACCUUUUAACAUCUGGUAAAUGUAAACCCUUCCCCCUUUUUGAUUUUCGCUUAGGCCUUUUUCAAAAACUUCAAGUUCUUAUUCUUACAACUUUGGCUUAUAUAGGAAAGGGUCUGGAAAAAAAAAUGCAGUGGAAACAGUUAUGUCACAAACUAUUUCAAGACCUGCCCUAAAAUGGGGAAUCUGGGAGAUAGCUCAGUGCUCCAUCUUGCUGGAUUCCUACACUGAAAAGCCCAGGACAAAAGAGGAUUAAGUGUCCUAAACAUUAUCUUGGGAUUUGGGUUUCAUGCCUGGGAGGCCCAAGCCUGCAGGUCUGCCUAAGCACAGAAAGAUAGCAACAGCUCUGAGCCUGACCUCUGCAUCUUUAGCUAGAGUGGGGUCAUUUAAAAGGACAUUGGUCAUGGGUGAUUUUGAGCAGUUGUAUCAACAGGGGGAAACAAUGAGGAAAUGGUUUAAGAAGAAGAAAAAAUACUCGCUUAUGUAACCCUCCCCGUUUUCCUCUUCCUUCCUUCCCUUCCCUUCCUUCUCCCAAGGCUAGGAUUUAAAUUUCAAUUUGGGUUCCUUUGCAGAAUGCUGUAAAGGUCUGCUUUUUAAUAUAAAACUAACCACUGUGCUUUUGCGAAUCCGUAAUUAGUGCUUGGGCCGAGGUGGUAAGAUUCUGAAGCUACAGGGGAGGCCAGAAGUCACCUAAUUCAGUCCCCUCACUUUGAAAAGAGAAAUGUACAGGCCACGGAGGUGAAAUGAUGUGCCCAGGGUCACCCAAAUGGUUAGUAGCGGCAUCAGGGCUGGGUUGCAAUUCCCUGCCUCCAUCUGUUGUAAAUCCUCUUGGACAGGCUUUGUGGCAAGCUACCAGAGAAGCUUAUUGGAAAGCAUUUAAAAACGUUAGACCGUCUGCAGAUGUGAUUUUAAAGGUUAUUUAUUUGUUUUACUGCAGAUCAUGACUUCCCCUCCAUCCGUCUUCUUGUUCCAGGGCCAGAUUCUGCCCUUUGAUGUUCUUUGUGGCAUUCAAGUUGCCUUUGGCCUGAAUCAGAAGCAGGGUUUGACCCAAAGCUACUGGUGCCUUUGUUUGCUCUCCGAGGACUUCCCCUCCCCCCAGGAGGCUCUGAAAAAUCAGUUGUCUUAGAGUUACUUUCUACACAAGAUGUGUCCUGCUGUGUCUGUGUCAUAGAAUCUGUGAGCUGGAUGAGACCUGUAAGGUCAUCAGUCCCACCCCCCGACCCAGUUCAGACAUGUCUUCCAAAAAUUUCCUGGCAUAUGGUCACGUAAUCUUAUGGCUAAGAAUUAGCUUGGGGACCAAAAAAAUAUCUUGGUUUCUUUUUGUAGGCAAAGAAGCUGAGAUCAGAGAGGUGAAGUGAUUCAUCUCCACCCGGGUGGAAGAACUAAAAUGAAUUCUGGCUUCUGACCUGAGUCUGUAGCUUUGUCUACUGUACCAUCCUAUCCUUGAUGAAAUGCUUGCAAGAAAUGUCCAGUGGAUCGUCUGUGCAUUUAUUCACUUGUUAAUCAUCAUUAAUUUACUAAGCCCUUAUUUUACCCAGAACUAGUAGUUAUAGGCAAAUUGACAAUGGAGUAAGAGGAAAAAUCCUCACGCUGAAGUCUAAUUCCCUAAGACAAUCAGUCUUUUGGGAGUUGUGUGAGUUUUCUCAUGGUACUGUAACAAAUUAUCAUAAACUGUGCUGAAGACAGCACGUAUUUAUUAUGUACAGUGCCAGAGAUCAGAAAUCUCCAACGAGUCUCACUGGGCUAAACUCAAGGUGUUGGCAGAGCUGUGUUCCUCCCGGAGGCUCCGGGGAAGGAUGCGUUUCCUUGGCUUUUCUAGCUUCUGGAAGCUGCCUACAGUCAUUGGCCCCCGGUGUGAUCCCUCCCUCCGUCUUCAUUGCCCCAUCCUAACUGCCCCCAUCAUCUCUGACACUCUCUUCCCUUUUUCUUUGCCCGCGUGAUGGCAUGCAGCCCACCUGGGUAAUCCGGGAUAACCUCUCCAUCUCAAGACCCAACGUUUAAUUGCCUCUGCAGCUGCCUUUCGACAUGGAAGUUGAGAUAUUUGGAGGUUCUCGGGUUUAGGACUUAACUACCUUUGGAGGACUGUUACUCUGCCUACCACAGAAGUCGCAGACACAGCAGUCCAGAGACGUCACCAACAAAUGUGAAGAAAGAAAGAUCGCAGAGAACUGAUGCUUGAGCCAAGCUGUGAGGGAUGUGAGAAGUUCACCAGCCAAUGCCGGUGCUUUUGUAAGUGCCUGCUAUGAAUUAGCCUGUUGAAUUCUCAGAAUAGCCCCAAGAGGAAGGCAACAUUAUUCUCGGUCCGCGGAAGAGGAAACAGAAACACAAGCAGACUGAGUGCUCCAUGAGGGAAGAACCUGUGUCUUCUUCUUACUGUUUGUCCUGCUCCUGGGACCGGGCCAGGCGCAUGGUAUGACAUGGAGAGAAUAAUAUCACGAACUCCCAUGUACCCUGCACAUCUAACUCCUGAGAUCCUUUUCCCUUUGCUGCUCUACAAUCAAUGACAUUUUUUUUUUCCUUCAUGUGAGAACAGAACCAAUUUGAACACCAGGACUUUGCUGCUUUGAGUUCUGGAACACUGUUUUGAAGAAUAUAGCGAGACAAUGGUAUGAAAGCAAAUGCUUUGGUCUUCAGAGAGCUGACUGUGUCAACAGAAAACAAAAUAAAAACGGUCUUAUGAUAUCCAUGGAGGCAGAAGUUGAAGGCUGCUCUUGAAACCAAUUAUAGAGAAUCUUGAGAAAACUGAUCAGAUGCAGGGAAGCCUUCACAAGCAGGAAGAAGAUGGCCCCUCUGGUGGUAGAUGGGCUUAGGCACAGAAGAAAGGGAAACAAAACGGGCAAAGCAUGACUCUCUGAGUUUCAGCUUAGCCGUGGUGUGAAUGUCAUGUUGGAGGGUGUUGAAACCUAAUAUCAUUUAGGAGAAUUCGCCAUCAAAACUCAGUUACUUGCAUCCUUCUGCAAAGCCUUGGGAGUUUGCAAGCCCUUCAGAGAAGCCCCAUAAUCAGCAUGAAGCUACCACCUGCUGUGGUACAGGAGUAGUGGGGAAGCAGAGGGGCAGAGGCCACCUCUCACACACUACGUGUGCCCCAUCUGGAGAGAGCCACAAUGCACUAUUGCCACCAGCCCCCAGAGGACCAGAAGAUCCUGAGCUUGGAAGAGGGCUGGAGUCCAUAGGAGGGCCCUGCAGAAUGUGGACGUCAAGGCUGAAGGCCACAGCAGCAUCUGCCAUUGGCAGAGGAUGCCAGCAUGAUGGCUGGGGCUGAAUGAGAGCAUCCGUGCUGCCAAGGCAGUCUGCAGAAGAAAGCAGAGUGGGAACCAGACAGCCUCCCGUGAUGCCACAAGGCUACCCAGUCUUCUGUGUGUACACCAGUGUCCUCUUGGGACAUAGGAAAAGAAUACUGAAGAAACCCCAAAAGACACACAUGCACCUAAAGAGCCUGAGGUUAUCUGAAAGGGACUGAAACCACAGCCUCCCCAGGAGCCUAUAAGCCCUCCAAGGACCAGUGCAAGGUUGUAUCCAUUUUUGUGUCCCAAGCAGCUGGUACAAAACCUUGCAUUGAAAAGUAUCUCUAGGGGCGCCUGGGUGGCUCAGUCGGUUGAGCGUCCGACUUCGGCUCAGGUCAUGAUCUCACAGUCUGUGGGUUGGAGCCCCGUGUUGGGCUCUGUGCUGACAGCUCAGAGCCUGGAGCCUGUUUCAGAUUCUGUGUCUCCCUCUUUCUCUGACCCUCCCCUGUUCAUGCUCUCUCUCUGUCUCAAAAAUAAAUAAAUUAAAGAAAAAUUAAAAAAAAAAAAAAAAAAGAAAAGUAUCUCUAUAGAGGACCACUGAAUGAUGAAUGGACAAACCAGACAAAAUCAUCAAUGUCCACAGCCUUGCAAGUGACUGGAAAGAUAGGCCUGAACUCACAGAGAAAAUGACCAAGGGAGAAAGGCAGAUGCCUGCCCUUUGGUUUAAUUGUAAGAAUAUAGGAAUGAGAGCCUCUUUCAGAUCCUUUAUUAUGGGUGAGAGACCAAAUUCAAUUUAAUUCAAUAAUAUGACAAAAUUUUGUAGACAUAAGCAAUGUUUAAUAUAAAAAAGAAAAAGAAGGUGUAAUUUUAUUUCUUUUAAUUUUUUAAUAUUUAGUUUUGAGACAAAGAGAGAAAAAGACAGAGUGUGAGCAGGGGAGGGGCAGAGAGAGAGAGAGGGAGACACAGAAUCCCAAGCAGGCUCCAGGCUCUGAGCGGUCAGCACAGAGCCCAGUGUGGGGCUCAAACCCACGAACUAUGGGAUCAUGACCUGAGCUGAAGUUGGAUGCUUAACCGACUGAGCCACACAGGUGCCCCAAGAAGGUAUACUUUUUAAAAGGAAGAGAAGAAGAAACAAAGGAGGAAAACACAAACCAAAGCCAAUCUUGGGUUGUGUUACUGAAAGCAGAAUACAUAGGUUGAGGGAGCUGAGAGGCCCGCUAGACCUCCCACUUGUAAGUCAACAUUCAGAGUAUGGGGCUGGCUCUGGGUACCCCAUAGUGGAGGAACAUUUAGAACCUGUGUGCAUAUAGAAGCAAACCUGUUCUGGCUUCUGGGAGGAUAAGACCAGCUGGAGGACAACCCUGUUGUCUCUGCUGUGGAAAUCCUAAAGCAGCCAAUUGACCUUGCCCAUGUGAAUGAAUCCAGACAAGAUGAGCAGAGCUGUGUACCCAACCCAUGGCUGACCACAGAUGCGUGGGUGAGCCCAGCUAAGCCCAGAAAAAUGGCCCAGCUUACCUGUAGACUUGUGAGCAAGAUGAAUACUUAUUUUAAACAUUGCCUUUUGAAAUGGUUUGUUAUACAGUAAUGACUAAUAUUCCACUGGAGUCAGGGAGACAUUAUCUCCUGUUGUGUGAACUUAAAUUGUUGACUCUAUACAUUCUUAUAUACUAAUUGGGAGGACCCUGUGUAAUAAUUUAUAUUAAGUAGUUUUCAUAGUGCCCAGCACAUAGUUAACAUUCAACAAAUUUUGUCUAUUAUUAGUAUUUUCACAAGUAAGCUGGAGAAAAAUACCAGUGGGGAAAUAAAGACAUUGCUUGAGAAUAAAUUCCAUGACAUGCAUUCUUUCACACCACAAAAGGUGAAAUAGUUAUUUUCUUCAUCUUUUUUUUUGAUAUAUUUACUUUGAGAGAAAUCACUUCUUUUACACUUGUGUGUACCGGGCACAUGUCCAAACAGAUACAAAGAGCUAUAGAUGAUGACACUUAUCUCCUUCUUUAUGACAAAUGUGCACGUUCCGUGUUUUAUGGGUUCUCCCAUGAAGGCUCUUUCUCUGCCUGGAUGAUGGUGGGUAUCAAACUUUAGAACUAUUCAGGGCCAAGGAAAUAAUGCAUUCUUGUAACCUUGAGCCCUUCUUAAGCGGAGAAAGACCAGAAUGAACAAAGAAGGUCAUUUUAUGAGAACAUAGUACAACAAAAGAAGAGGCUAAACAUCAUACUUUCUAACAACCUCUAGAAAAAAAAAAUUCUCCCCAGAGAACUUUAUAUAUUAUCUCAUUCAUAAAUUCCAGAAUCCAAAGCAUGAACGUAAUGUCUCUUUUUCUGUAAGGGUGAAGGUGUCACAAAUCAAGUAAGUAAUGCUUCAACUUAGCACUGCAAGGGACAAUCAGGUCUAAAUGUUGGCCCUUCAGUCCAAUCACCCAUUUUAUUCCUGGAUCUCCCCAAAGGCUUUCUUACAUUCAUGACCAAAGACUUCUGCUCCUGGGAAUUUUGCUACUUCCUAAAACAGCCUAUUUCAUUAGUUGUGACUUAAUGAGACAAGAAUUCAAGUGCAGUUAGUCCAUUUGGGAGGUUAUCCCAGUAUAUACAGUAGAGGCACGGAGAACUGACAUUUGGGAUUUACAGGGAAAUGAGGAUAGAGUAUGUUUUUAAUUAAAUGAUAGCUUUAGAUUAUUGGGGUUUAAUCCUGCUCAGAAACCCUAGGAACCUCAGAAUUACCUAACAUGAGGGAUGAGGUAGCUGGGGUAUUUAUCCACCAGGUUGCACAAUUAUUGCUUGUAUCUGCUAUCGAGAGGAAUUAAUUGCCAGGCCAGGGACAGGCUGGAAUUUCAGAACAAUCUUCAGCCUUGUAGCAAAAGAGCAUUGCACUGGCAGCUGGUUGAGUUGGUACGCACAGACAUCUUAAGAGUUGAGGAGAUGUGAGUAGGGCUCCAACAAAGUGUGCCUCAAGGUGUAAAAGUCUACUCCUCAUUGCAAAAGUUGUCUGCUGCUUUUGCCUUCCUAGGAUGUCCCACCCGGCCCCCUUUGGUAACCCCUCCUGGAGAAAAUAUCCUCUUCCCUUGUCUCAGUCCACUUAAUUUGGAAGGAGCUGAUGCUAGCUUCCCCCAGCUUACCACCCAGCUCCAGAGUCAACACAUUAACCAGUCCUGGAUGAUAACUUUAAAGCAUCUCAUACUCAUAGUGAUUGGUUUAGAGGUGGCCACAUAAUGGAAGCCAGCCUAUUCAGAGCAGUUCUUGGAAUUUUUUUGUACAGCAAUUAACAAAGGGCAGAUAUUAUUUCUGCUGGUUGCUAAACUGAUAUGUUUUAAGCCUAGAUGUUCUUGUGGUCAUCUCUGUCCAACCCUGAGAAAGAAGCCAACAGAAGUAAAACAUAUUUCUGCUCACAUUUUGUGAGUAUCUGUAACCGGCUAGGUCUGAUUGUCCCUGGACUUUGGACGUGAUCAGUUUGAAUUGGGCCAUGCCUGACACACUUAUUUUAAGUCUCUAAUUGUUUGCAGUGUCAUUUCUUCUCAUUUGUCCUAGGCUUACUCAACAGGGACAUACGAAUCAAUCCCUCUCGCUUCCAAAUGCCAUCCCGUAAGAGAGAUCAAGAAAGUUAUGUUAUGUAAGCAGUAUGUGCACAUGUUGUGAUUAAAAGCAAGGGUUUUGGAUUCUGACAGACCCAGAUUUGAAACUUGGCUCAGGCAUUUGCCAGUUGUGUGGCCUAGAGGAAGAUAUAAACAUUGUAAGCCUUAUUUUUAUCAUCUGUAAACUGGAAAGAAGGAGGCAGUGCCGAUUCUGCAGAGCUCUUGAGAGAGAAAGCUUGGGAUUUGCUCAGCAAUCUUAUUUCUGAGUAGCAAAUGGCCAAGGAGUUUGGUGGCUUUUGAACAAAAAAGUUGCAGAAUUGAAAACAAUAGUUGUAUUUGAUGGUUAACAACCUAAUGACAUAAGUAUUUGCCUGGCAGAGAGCAAGAACUCCAUAAAGGUAGCCACAAUCAUCAUAUCUUUUUCCUGAGCUUUCUCGUCUUCUCUAGGGUAAAACUCUCUGCCAUUUCUAGGCAUACACUCUUCAUGUUUUUUUCCAAUAUAACCUCACUCAAGCCAGGACAAUGAGGUAAAACAUUUGAAAUGAUGAGUGUCAGUCAGGACUAGUAAGGGUUGUAUGAUGGGUAAAUGGCAAUAUGGAUAUGGCAUGAUUUCGGGUUCCCAGUCCUAUCAUUGACUGCUUUUAUCUGAGCAUAGCCCAGGUUAAAAAUAUAUCUACUUGAAACCUUGCCUGGCAGGCAUAGCAGUGGCUUACUCCAUGGAGAAAGUUGUCUCCAUUUUUCUUAAAGCAGAGCUUGUUACUAGGUAUGCAAUCUCAGUGAGCGGACCCAUUUGACUUUGCAGAGGUGCGGAUACUCAUGACUCGUCUCUAACCAUAGGGCACACCUGAAAAGCUAGCUGCAUACUGUGAUGGAUGAGAUCCCUGAAAAACAGAGGCUUCGGAAAGUUACAUGGCCUGGACCAAAUCACAGUGACCCCAUGGAGUGAUAAUGCUUAGGGGCUGGAAUUUCACCCCAAAAUAGUAGGUAGAAAGCAAUUACAUGAUCUAUGGCACUUCCUGGGCCAGAGACUAUGCUCAGAGACCCUAGCAUUCACUCUUUUUGUUUUUUUAUAUGAAAUUUAUUGUCAAAUUGGUUUCCAUACAACACCCAGUGCUCAUCCCAACAGGUGCCCUCCUCAAUGCCCAUCAUCCACUUUCUGCUCCCUCCCACCCCCCACCCCCAUCAACCCUCAGUUUAUCCUCAGUUUUUAAGAGUCUCCUAUGGUUUGGCUCCCUCCCUCUCUAACUUUUUUUUUUCCUUCCCCUCCCCCAUGGUCUUCUGUUAAGUUUCUCAGGAUCCACAUAAGAGUGAAAACAUACGGUACCUGUCUUUCUCUGUAUGACUUAUUUCCCUUAGCAUAACAGUCUCUAGUUCCAUCCACGUUAGCAUCCACUCUUAACCGUGCCUCUCAUUCUUAAACCACUGUGAAAAGGUUGCUUGCAAAUUCUUCCAAGAUUAGACACUUGUAUUCAGGGACUUCCUAUUGUCCUAUCUGUGCUUGAGUUUCCUGAGAAACACUCUGAGAUGGAGAUUUGCGUGCAGGAAGCUUACUGGGUAGUGUCUUCAGGAACAACAUUUGUAGGAGAUUUUGGGAAGCAGGACAGCAGAGGGAGAAACUGAACAGCAAUUUGCAUUCAGUGGAAGCCUCAGCCAACCCCACAGAGCCUUGGAACUGGGAUGCCUCUGCAGAUCUUUCCUGAAAGCAAGGAGGCUUUGCCUUUGUACCUUUGCAUCGACCAGGUAUGGAAGAGGAUGACUCAAGAGAGAGGUUAUAAAAAUAUCCAUCAAAAGGGCCAAGUAGCUGCCUUCAAAGACGGCAAUUCCUAUAAGCAGCUAACAUCCUCUGCACCUGGGAAAAUGAGUGCCUCGGUCCUGGAUGGCCUACCAUAGCACCCAUAGCAACUUGAUCAUUUGGCUUGAUGUGAACCAAAAAAUAAAUCUGAAAACACAAAACCAGUGCUCUGCCUAGGAAGUAAGGGAAAGGGAAACGGCAUGAUGAUAUAGAACUGGCUUGGGAUUCAGAUUUCGCUCUGAAUACCUUACUCUUGAUGUGGUCUUGGCACAAUCCCUUUAUACUGCAUAGCCUCUCAGAGCAUCAGCUUCUUUGUUAUUUAUAAAACGAUGAUAUUGGUAAUAUAUCAGUCAUGGCAUAUCUGGAAUGACAUGAUAAGUCACUUGAAGUCCCAAGAAGUGACAGGCAUACUGAAAGCAUUUCAUAACUGGCAGUUUCUUCCACCUUGAAGACACUGAAUGGUUUGUUUGCAUGUCACUCUUUAUCCAAACCUUGUUGAGAAGAAUGUCCCAGAAAGUUUGAAGCGUUCACGGCUGGUCGAAUGCAGGAAAGUACAGACAAGAAAUGGGGAGAAAAUGCUGAGACGCAAGCAAACACAGAAUGCGUUGGGAGUCCCGGAAACAGUCUGAGGAAUCAGGGUGAGCUUCUUGGAGGAGGAAGAAUCUGACCUGUAUUCUGAAUCAUAAAGAGGGUGAAAGUGAUGAUGGGACAGUGAGGAUGACACUUCAGGGAGGGGGCUCUUGGGUCCAAAAGCACAGAGACAACUGAGACCAUGGCACAUUUGAUCACCUGUAGAUGUUACAGUACAUUUGGAGCAUAAUCUGGGAGAGAGGUGGGCAACAGAAAGGGAAAGCUUCAUUUCAAUACACUUGGUAAUGGCAGCUCUUCCUUCACCACUGCGGCUUGGGGCUCGCUUCGUUCAAAUUCACAAAGAAGUAUUAAAGGAAGAAGGUAGCUAAAAGAGUUCAUGGCUGUGUUUAAAUAAAGCCUACCUAGAACUGAAAACCACUGGGAUGGGGCCCACGGGCUCCAUCUUGUUAACAGCUCUGGAUUUCAGGCUUUUUGGUCCGGCUGGUUAGACCAAUUUUGAUAAGCAGCCAUGUUUCCUUUGGAUGAUUGGAGAAGUUAUCCUCUCAAACUAUGUAGUCAAAUGUGACGAGGCUUCAAACAGUGCUGUAAGUUCACUGCAGGCCCAGUAUGUUCACAACACCCUUACUAGGAGUAGCUGGGUACAGUGAAGUGGGUCUACCCAAAAAGGCGAGUCUCUGAGGCCAGACUCCACCCUGCACUCACCCAGUUCUGGAGGACUGGCUGGGGAGCGAAGAGCCCCAUGGUUUGUCUAUGCCAUGAUUUCCACUGUAAACUUUGUUUUCAUUCUCCGUGAAAGAGUACUUUAUGCUCUGAACUUCAUGAAAGUUGAAAAAAAAAAUCCACUUGUAGAUGAAAUUUUUCAAGUUUGGACUCAGCCCAAGUAGGGUUAAAAAAAAUUGGCAAGCAAAAGUAAAAUAUUCCAAGAGGCUUUUAGCAAUGUAGAGCGUUAACCAGAAAAUAAUUAAAACUUACAGAGUGCCUGGUUCGUAGACUUCAAUGGGGGUGGUAGGCUUACUUAUACACGUCUUGUCCAGAUUCACUAGCACACUUCCUGAAAUAUCAUGAUGUGCCUACACAGGACUUUAUGCCUUCAAAGCUCCUUUACAUUAGUAACUCAGAUUUUAUCAUAUUAUCACUGUGAGGUAAACAAGGCUAACAGAUGAAGAAACUGAGGCACGGGCAGGUUAAGUUACUUGCCUAAUACUGAUUACGGCUAAUAUUUUGUGGGAAGAGUACAGUCUACAGAGACAAGACACAGCGGGGGUCCACAGAUGGUGCUGCUGUUAGACUAGUAGGGAUUGAAGCCUCAACUACUUAUAAACUCUGAACUUUGACUUACGUGUCUGGAAAAUGGGAGAGUAAUAUUACACAGAGUGAUUUAAGGAUCAAGUGAGAUGGCGGUGGAAAUAUUCCUUGUAAAUUAUAGUGUCACUUAAGUGACUUAACGCAAUUAAACAUCUAGUUAGGAAUGUAAAUGGGAAUUCAAUCCAUGUCCCCUAAAUCCUGGGUCAGCAUUUCUACUUCCAAUCGACAAUCAUGAUUCAUUUCCAAUUACCGUCACCGGUUUAUCUCGGAACUGUUCAGUUUAAGACCACUUACGAGUUUUAAAUAGACUGCAGAAUUCAGUUUAGAUUUCUCUCUUAACGCCCCAGUCACUUUUGCCCCUCAUCAAGUGGGGUUGAACAUGAUUCAUGUGGAGUGUGCUGUUUUUCACUCACACCGAUUCACUCUGCUUCCUGAAGAAUGGCCUGUUACGUAAUUUGGAGUGACACUGUUAAGCGCUCACAAACUGCAUUUCUAUUAGAAAAUACAACCUAGAGAAAGACAUCACCCAAGUCCUCAAGCACUCUGUGUUCUCAAAGACAUCAAAAGCAAGGCGUACCUGCUACCCUAAACAUCUGCCAAAUCAUGUCUGCUUUUUAAAACUAUAACAAGAUGAAACCAACCAACCGCCCCCAAAACCCAAAUCAAAACAGUGACCAACGAUGCACAGAAGUUCCCCAAAUGUACCCUAUCAAGGAACCGAGAACAUAAACAUGAGGAACUUCCUAUAAAUAGAUGCUAGCUCUUUAUCAUUGCCUGUCUCUGAUACACAGACUUUAAACAUAAUAGUGAUAUGUAUGUCUCUGUCUCCAUUUCCUAUCUUCUCAAGUAGACUGUGAAGCCUGAGACAGUUAUCUCAUUAUUUCUUGUACCCCCACGGCAUUUGGGUGGGGUUGAGGAACAACAUGUACUAAGCCUGUAUUCAGUGCCAGGGGCUGUACAGACUCAUCACAUUGAUCAUCUCAUUCAUUCUUUGAAAUAAUUCUUAAGUGGUAGGUAUUAGCCCCAUCUGACAGGUAGAGAAGCAGGCUGGAGUGGGUAAAAUAACUUGCUCAGGAUCACAUGUUUAGUAAAUGCUAGAGCAACAAUUCAUACUUGAAUCUGCUUCCUAUGACACCUCUUUGCCUUUCGUCUACUUAGUGGCUGAUAAAUGGUAAGCGCUUGUGGACACAGCCUAAGUUGUCAUAUUACCGUGCCUAAAAUUAUGCUUCUAUGAGAUGCAGCAUCAUGCGUAGAAAUAGACCUUAAGAUAAAAUUCUAUAAGGGCUAAUUCUUAGAUAUCAUAUUUUAGAUCUUAAUUAAAUCACCAUAUAACACCCACCCAUGCAGGGACAAAAGGCAUGCACUAUCAUUGCAAAUCAUACCUGUCAUAAGGACUUUAAAUAAAUUAGUUUAAGCCUCAAAACAACCCUUAGAGGUAGGCAUCACUGUUACCUCUAUUAUGCUUAUUUUACACCUUAGUAAAAUGGGGCAUGGAAAGUUUGCCAAAGCAGAACUGAGAUUCAACCUUGGCAACUCUGGUUCCUUUAUGCCUAUGGUUCUCAAAUUUGAUUGUACUUAGAAUGACCUGGAAGUUUUCUGUACUCUGGGAAGCCCACACCUCACCCCUACAGAUUCAACUAAUGGGAGGUGAGGUCCUGGCACUCUUAUCUUUAUCAGUGGUCCAGGGGAUUCUAUUGUACAGACAGGGCUGGAAGGCCUGACUAGACUAGACCACCUCUGAAUCUUACUGUGCAGAAACCUUGCUCUCUAAGAAGCUGGAACUGAGCACAUGGUGUAUAUAAAUACACCCACCCUUCUAAGUGACUUCUGCCAACGAGGCUGUCUGAAUUUUUUUAAAUGUUUAUUUAUUUAUAUUGACAGAGAGAGAGACAGCACAAGCGGGGGGAGGAGCAGAGAGCGAGGAGAGAGAGAAUCUCCAGCACACUCCUCACUGUCUGCACAAAGCCGGAAGUGGGGCUCCAGCUCACGAACCGUGAACUCAUGGUCUGAAAUCAAGAGUCUGACGCUUAACAGACUGAGCCACCCAGGCGCCCCAGGCUGUCUGAAAUUUUAAUACGAAUUGCAUUAAUAAGACAAUUGGUUAAGAGUAACUGAACCCACCACUUGAAAUGAGAACUGUAUGUGGUUUCGGUGCUGGGCACCAGGCUCGGGACUUUGUAGAGCUCUUUUCAGUGAAUCCACAGAACAGCCCAGCCAGGUAGGUAUUACCGCUAUGAGUCAGGUAUGGCCAACAGAUUUCAUCUUGCUUCCUUGUAAUCUGGUUGAUUGCCAGAGCUUGAAAUCUUUACAAGCUUAUUUUCAGCCUUUUUUUAAUAUAUUAAAAACUACACUAAUGUGUAGUUCAUUUAAAAAAAGAAUACCCCCUAUUAUAGAAAAGUGAAUCCAUACUUCUUCCCAGCAUCAUUAAGUGCCCCUCUGUUGUCACACUUCCCUCAGCUGCUAGAGCACAAGGCAUAUUUGUUAAUUCCUUUGUGCCAAAUGUUACCUGCUUGAGGACUGCUUGUAUAAGAACCUAAUAGUCCCCAUUUGGGUGGCCUCUGUGUUUCUAAUCUCUUUGUAAUCAAUAUUAAUUAGGAUUAAUGACCUAUUUUUAGCUGUAUCCCAGAGUCGCCCAGUCUUCAAGUCUAAGUGGUAGGAUUUAUGACACCAGAGAUUUAUUUAUCUUUGUACAUUAUUUAAUUUCCUUUGAUUCUUUACUGUGGAGGUAUAAGGUUACCUUUCUGCCAUCUUUCUUUGUAACUUCCUGAUCUUCGUAAGAGGAAGUGGCAGAUUAGAAUUUCAACCACAAAGGAGAAAGAAUCUGUACAACAAAGCCUAAAGUUUCCUUAACAUCAAAUGUUUUCUACUGUAGCAUAUUUUAGACGAUCGCACUGGAUAUUUCCAUCUUAAUCCAUACAGUUUAUUGGAUACUUAGUUUAAUAGAUUCUAUGGAAAAUAACAGGACAGAUUCUGAAAACGUAUAUCUGACUUUUCCUGUGGCUGGGAGAAAUUGACACUGGCCAAUUAUAGGUGUACUAAUUUGUUGACUUAAUUAUAUUGAAUUACAUGGAGUGUGGUUCAGCAACGUCCAAGUAGGAAACAAAUGUGUUUUCUGCCCUUUCCUCCACACUGAGGUACCAUUAAGAUAACUCUCUAAUAGCCUGGGUGUGUGUGUCAGAAAAAACUUCAUUGUAUUAAUAACUGAUGCUACUAAUACUAGGCAUUUAUCAUACUGAUACCCACAGUGGCUUUGAGAAGAGUGAAUGAUAACUUGUAUAGUCAAACCAGAGUUGCUUUUUUUUUUUUUAAGUCAUAUUAUACAGGGAGUUGACGGAGGUGUGAGUUCAGCUUCUAGAAACUGUGCCUAAGGUGCUAGUAUGUUCAAACUGCAAGGGACUCAGAUGAUUUGGACCAACUUCUCUUAGUUUACAGAUGAGGGAACUGACAUGCACCAUGCUGAAAUGACUUGCCCAGGCUCACACAAGUUUAGCAGGUGACAGAACAGCCUGACUAAUUCAGCGGGUUCUCCCUGCUCACCAUUUGCAUUGAGCUGCGAUGCCUCCCUGACUCUUUCCCCACAUCAGCUUCUUACAGUGAUCUCUCACCUCAAGUGACAGUAAAGAUUCAAGCGAGCAUGAGACCCAGAGCCAUGCCUUAAUGCUCUGGUAUUUUUUUACACCUGAAAGGAGGCUUAGCUGAUGCUUGAUUAUUCCUUCGUCAAUAAGGGAAGCCAGAGACAAGGACCUCUCUAGUGAUCUGCCAUCGUUUUACAAUUUCCUCAUAUAUAAACUUUCCUUUUU